rnacentral:rRNA from 1 species
UACAUGGGGGGCAAGCGUUGUUCGGAAUUACUGGGCGUAAAGGGCUCGUAGGCGGCCAACUAAGCCCGACGUGAAAUCCCAAGGCUUAACUUUGGAACUGCGUCGGAUACUGGAUGGCUUGAAUUCGGGAGAGGGAUGCAGAAUUCCAGGUGUAGCGGUGAAAUGCGUAGAUAUCUGGAGGAACACCGGUGGCGAAGGCGGCAUCCUGGACCGACAUUGACGCUGAUGAGCGAAAGCUAGGGGAGCAAACGGG